rnacentral:rRNA from 1 species
UGGGGGAUAUUGCACAAUGGGCGAAAGCCUGAUGCAGCGACGCCGCGUGGGGGAUGAAGGCUUUCGGGUUGUAAACCUCUUUCGCUAUCGAACAAGGCCCGCUUAGGGUGGGUUGAGGGUAGGUGGAGAAGAAGCGCCGGCUAACUACGUGCCAGCAGCCGCGGUAAUACGUAGGGCGCGAGCGUUGUCCGGAAUUAUUGGGCGGAAAGGGCUUGUAGGCGGCUUGUUGCGCCUGCUGUGAAAACGCGGGGCUUAACUUCGCGCGUGCAGUGGGGACGGGCAGGCUUGAGUGUGGUAGGGGUGACUGGAAUUCCAGGUGUAGCGGUGGAAUGCGGAGAUAUCUGGAGGAACACCGAGGGCGGAGGCAGGUCACUGGGCCAUUACUGACGCUGAGGAGCGAAAGCAUGGGGAGCGAACAGG